UACGAGGGGGGCGAGCGUUGUUCGGAAUUAUUGGGCGUAAAGGGUGCGUAGGCGGUUUGGUAAGUCUUGUGUGAAAUCUACAGGCUCAACUUGUAGUCUGCACGAGAAACUGCCGGGCUUGAGUGUGGGAGAGGUGCGUGGAAUUCCUGGUGUAGCGGUGAAAUGCGUAGAUAUCAGGAGGAACACCAGUGGUGCAAACGGCGCCCUGGGUCCGAACUGACGCUGAAGCACGAAAGCGUGGGGAGCGAACGGG
rnacentral:rRNA from 1 species